UACGGAGGGUGCAAGCGUUGUCCGGAUUUAUUGGGUUUAAAGGGUGCGUAGGCGGCUAUUUAAGUCAGUGGUGAAAUCCAGCAGCUUAACUGUUGAACUGCCAUUGAUACUGGAUGGCUUGAGUACAGACGAGGUAGGCGGAAUUUAUGGUGUAGCGGUGAAAUGCAUAGAUACCAUAAAGAACACCGAUUGCGAAGGCAGCUUACUAGGCUGUAACUGACGCUGAGGCACGAAAGUGUGGGGAUCAAACAGG
rnacentral:rRNA from 1 species